rnacentral:rRNA from 1 species
CGUAUGACCAACCUACCUAUCAGGAGGGAACUACCGGCAAAGUCGGACUAAUACCGCAUAAAAACAGGGGCACCGCAUGGUGAUAUUUUGUUAAAGAAAUUCGCUGAUAGAUGGGCAUGCGUUCCAUUAGGUAGUUGGUGAGGUAACGGCUCACCAAGCCGACGAUGGAUAGGGGAACUGAGAGGUUGGUCCCCCACACUGGUACUGAGACACGGACCAGACUCCUACGGGAGGCAGCAGUGAGGAAUAUUGGUCAAUGGGCGGGAGCCUGAACCAGCCAAGUCGCGUGAAAAGGAAGAAGGAUCUAUGGUUCGUAAACUUCUUUUGCAGGGGAAUAAAGUGCAGGACGUGUCCUGUUUUGUAUGUACCCUGAGAAUAAGGAUCGGCUAACUCCGUGCCAGCAGCUGC